rnacentral:rRNA from 1 species
GUCGCCUCCUAAAAGGUAACGGAGGCGCUCAAAGGUUCCCUCAGAAUGGUUGGAAAUCAUUCAUAGAGUGUAAAGGCAUAAGGGAGCUUGACUGCGAGACCUACAAGUCGAGCAGGGUCGAAAGACGGACUUAGUGAUCCGGUGGUUCCGCAUGGAAGGGCCAUCGCUCAACGGAUAAAAGCUACCCCGGGGAUAACAGGCUUAUCUCCCCCAAGAGUUCACAUCGACGGGGAGGUUUGGCACCUCGAUGUCGGCU